rnacentral:rRNA from 1 species
CCAUACCAUCCUGAAUGUGCCUGAUCUUGUCUGAUCUCGGAAGCUAAGCAGGGUGGGACCUGGUUAGUACUUAAAAGCAUCCACAAAAUAGGGAGGAUAUCCAACUUUCUCAUCAGAAGAUCUGGAAG